rnacentral:lncRNA from 1 species
CGGUCCCAAAGUGCAACGGCAUCAGCUUGAGCCGUGCCCCAUGCUGCGGGAAAAAGGAGACCACGACAACCUCCUCUCCAAAAAGAAGGGACUAUCACAGUGAUACAGUCCAGUUGGCUACAAGGGAGCAAAUCACUGUUGUUGGGCUUGUCGGGAUGCACCACUGUAUCCACCGUAACCAUUUCCUUGAGUCCCAUAAUUACCAGAGGCUUGUGACGGAUCAGAUCUCCAUGCUGCGUUUCCAUACCCUGGAUUGCCAUUGGCAUCACCAUAGCCACUUCCCAUGUAACCGCCACCACUCCCUUGUAAUUCUCCCCCACCCUGGUUACCAGCAUUACUAUUCGGGACACUCCCAGAACGCCCUCCUACUGCCCCAUAACCAGAGGGAUUGCCAUAAGAUCCAUCACUUCCACCAUACCCACCAUAGCCAUAACCUUGAUUCCCAUACCCAGUAGCUCCACUAGGAGAUUGACCAGCAUGCGCUGAACCAGGACCACCGCUGCUGCCACCAGCACCCCAUGCUGCAGCAUUCCCAUAGCCCAUGGCACCAUAACCAGUGGGAGUUUGUGUGCCCCAUGAACUUCUAGGUGCACCCGGUGGACCACUUGCAUAGCCAGCAUUAGGUACAUUUGGGUUCCCAUAGGGGGUACCAGCAGGGCCACCAUACCCAGCGUUUGUACCACCAUAACUUCCAUAACCACCAUAACCAACACUGUUGCUGGAUGGACCAUAACCAUAACCAGAUGCGCCAUACCCAGAAGAACCAUAAGGUGUAAAGCCACUUCCAGGAUUCUGAGGCUGCAUGUAUCUAUUAGAUUCCAUACGACCUUCAAAUGCACUUGCAUUGCCACCAGAAGCACCAUAACCCUGAUAACCACCAAAACCGCCACCACCACCGCCACCACCCAUGCUACGACUACCUCCACCAGGAUUGGCAUCUUUAGGAAGAGCCCGUUUUACUUCCACCUGCUUACCAUUCAAAUCAUGAAAGGUCUUCUGUAAAACCCUGUCAACUGCAUCUUCAGUGUCAAAGGAGAUAAAGCCAAAUCCACGAGGUCGUUGAGUAUUCUGGUCGUACAUGAUUACAACAUCAGUAACAUGACCAUAAGCUUCAAAAUACUGACGAAAUCCAUCUUCAGUCAGGGUGGGGGGCAACCCUCCAACAAAUAUCUUCUUAGUCCUGAUAGUUCCACCACCCCCAUUGCUUCUGCCAGAAUUAGUAUUUCCAGAC